rnacentral:lncRNA from 1 species
CACGUACACCACAGACGUCACCGCGCUCACACGACUGACCCCCCGCGGACCCGCACGGUUUGGUUACACUGUUAAUGAUCACAGAAAUGGGCCUAUAUAGUCAACUUUAGGCCUAGUCUACUACUACCAAUCUGUGGUAUUAUAAGCAUUUCAACUGCCAGAGAAAUGGAUGGAAAUGACCGAUGGACAAAUAUCAACCUGCUAUUGAUAACUAGGCGAUGUGAGGGUGUUUUGCGAAUAUCAGACAACGACUGUUUCUAAACUUCAUGUGCAGCAGAACGCUCUCCUCUCUCUCCUUGCGCCCUCUGACCUGUAGGUGUUCUCUUUUCUCAUAUGGCAGAGAGGGAGAGAGACAGCGAGUGAGCGAGAGAGUUAGAACCCUCAAUGUCUCAAAUCCUAAUCCUGCGAUAAGAAACAGCAGCCUUAGUUGGCCGGUGGUAGCUGGUCCCCUACAAGACGGUGAGGUGCCGGAGGUCCCUCCGCCCCCUCUAGACAUCAAGGGGUCCCCGGCGUACACAGUAUGUGCUAUUCUGGACUCGAGAAGCCGGGUGAGGGGCCUGCAGUACCUCGUGGACUGGGAGAGGUACAGCCCGGAGGAGAGGUGCUGGGUACCGGUGGGGGUACCGGUGGGGGACAUCCUGGAUCCAUCACUGUUGAGGGAUUUCCAUCGCCUCCAUCCGGAUCGCCCUACGCCUCGCCCUCCGGGUCGGCGCACUGCGGGAGCCGCGCGUCGGGGGGGAUACUUUCAGGAUUCCUACUGAGGGUGACUCCUCUCCCUGUUCGGGUGGCGCUCGGCGGUCGUCGUCACCGGCCUACUAGCUGCCACCGAUCCCUUUUUCCCUUUCUGUUUGUUUUGUCUAAUUAGUUUCACCUGUUUUCAUUUAGGCUUGUUAGUUGGGCUAUUUAAGCCAGUAGGCCCGCCUGUUCUUUGUGCGGACUUAAUGAUCCUUCCACUGUGUUCUGUGUGGUGGAUAGUAUAUUUUGGGCGUUUGUAUUUUGGUGCGCCCGACAUUUUGGGCAAAUUACUUUUGUGCGUAAUAAAGCGCAACCUUGAA